GACGAACGCUGGCGGCGUGCUUAACACAUGCAAGUCGAACGGAAAGGCCCUGCUUGCAGGGUGCUCGAGUGGCGAACGGGUGAGUAACACGUGGGUGAUCUGCCCCUUACUUUGGGAUAAGCCUGGGAAACUGGGUCUAAUACUGGAUAGGACCAUGCUGUAGGUGGUGUGGUGGAAAGAUUAGUUUCGGUAAGGGAUGAGCUCGCGGCCUAUCAGCUUGUUGGUGGGGUAAUGGCCUACCAAGGCGUCGACGGGUAGCCGGCCUGAGAGGGUGGACGGCCACAUUGGGACUGAGAUACGGCCCAGACUCCUACGGGAGGCAGCAGUGGGGAAUAUUGCACAAUGGGCGCAAGCCUGAUGCAGCGACGCCGCGUGGGGGAUGACGGCCUUCGGGUUGUAAACUCCUUUCAGCCAUGACGAAGCCUUCGGGUGAUGGUAGUGGUAGAAGAAGCACCGGCUAACUACGUG
rnacentral:rRNA from 1 species